AGUAUUCUCCAUUCCUCUACUUUUUCAGGAACACCAAAAUUCCAACUCCACAACCUUUGGGAAGUUCCCCAUGAGCUGCUUGUUCACGGAUUAGCACCUAGCUGCAGCUGAGAGAGAUUCUCACAUGCAGGAGAAUCAGACUUGUGUCCUGGACUUAGCAAAGCAUGAUCACACUCUUUGUCCUUAUCUACCGAGCCACAGCUUCCAGUGCAAGUGUCCUUGUGCCCUGGUGCCUGAUAUCCAGCUCCGGCAGCCUAGAAAAUCAGUUAGGCUUUUCAGUCACAGCACCCCCCGUGACAAACGUGUGGAGCACCGCAUGACUUCUUCAACCAGCUGGUUUUUCUGGCAUUUGAAUAAAAGUAAAAAUAGAAAACAAAGAGGGAGAAGAAAAGUGACAAGCUGAAACCUGCGAAGAGAAAGAGGACAAAAAUGAACAAGUUGAUCUGGUCUUGAGGGAGGAGGAGGCACAGGAACACAGUAAAGGAACCUAUCUGAGGAGCUGCAGACAUGAACCAACAAAGUCAAACCCCACCUGGAAAAUGAAUUGUGUCCAGAUGAGACCCCUUUAAUGACAGGAUUUGAAACAAUCUCAUUAUGAAACAAUUGCAGUCAAUGGGAAUCCUGAGUCUUCGAGGAAGAGAAAAGAAAAAAAAACCUCUGUUAUCCUCACAUAUUUAAAGAUUCUCAUAUAAAAUCUUCUCCGAAGAGAACAGCUUGUCCUGUUUAGCUUCAAAGAAGAGAAUGAAGAGGAAGUUUGAAGGAAAAUUACAGAAAAGCAGAUUUUGACUUGACACGUGGAAGGACUUCUCACUAAUGUUAUUCCCAAAUACAAUGAGUUGUUUCCAUGAUUGGAGGACUUGAAGAUGUAUAAGUUAUCCACA
rnacentral:lncRNA from 1 species